GACGAACGCUGUCGGCGUGCUUAACACAUGCAAGUCGAACGGAAAGGCCCUGCUUUUGUGGGGUGCUCGAGUGGCGAACGGGUGAGUAACACGUGAGUAACCUGCCCUUGACUUUGGGAUAACUUCAGGAAACUGGGGCUAAUACCGGAUAGGAGCUCCUGCUGCAUGGUGGGGGUUGGAAAGUUUCGGCGGUUGGGGAUGGACUCGCGGCUUAUCAGCUUGUUGGUGGGGUAGUGGCUUACCAAGGCUUUGACGGGUAGCCGGCCUGAGAGGGUGACCGGCCACAUUGGGACUGAGAUACGGCCCAGACUCCUACGGGAGGCAGCAGUGGGGAAUAUUGCACAAUGGGCGGAAGCCUGAUGCAGCAACGCCGCGUGCGGGAUGACGGCCUUCGGGUUGUAAACCGCUUUCGCCUGUGACGAAGCGUGAGUGACGGUAAUGGGUAAAGAAGCACCGGCUAACUACGUGCCAGCAGCCGCGGUGAUACGUAGGGUGCGAGCGUUGUCCGGAUUUAUUGGGCGUAAAGGGCUCGUAGGUGGUUGAUCGCGUCGGAAGUGUAAUCUUGGGGCUUAACCCCUGAGCGUGCUUUCGAUACGGGUUGACUUGAGGAAGGUAGGGGAGAAUGGAAUUCCUGGUGGAGCGGUGGAAUGCGCAGAUAUCAGGAGGAACACCAGUGGCGAAGGCGGUUCUCUGGGCCUUUCCUGACGCUGAGGAGCGAAAGCGUGGGGAGCGAACAGGCUUAGAUACCCUGGUAGUCCACGCUGUAAACGGUGGGUACUAGGUGUGGGGUCCAUUCCACGGGUUCCGUGCCGUAGCUAACGCUUUAAGUACCCCGCCUGGGGAGUACGGCCGCAAGGCUAAAACUCAAAGGAAUUGACGGGGCCCCGCACAAGCGGCGGAGCAUGCGGAUUAAUUCGAUGCAACGCGUAGAACCUUACCUGGGUUUGACAUGGAUCGGGAGUGCUCAGAGAUGGGUGUGCCUCUUUUGGGGUCGGUUCACAGGUGGUGCAUGCCUGUCGUCAGCUCGUGUCGUGAGAUGUUGGGUUAAGUCCCGCAACGAGCGCAACCCUUGUUCACUGUUGCCAGCACGUUAUGGUGGGGACUCAGUGGAGACCGCCGGGGUCAACUCGGAGGAAGGUGGGGAUGACGUCAAGUCCUCAUGCCCCUUAUGUCCAGGGCUUCACGCAUGCUACAAUGGCUGGUACAGAGAGUGGCGAGCCUGUGAGGGUGAGCGAAUCUCGGAAAGCCGGUCUCAGUUCGGAUUGGGGUCUGCAACUCGACCUCAUGAAGUCGGAGUCGCUAGUAAUCGCAGAUCAGCAACGCUGCGGUGAAUACGUUCCCGGG
rnacentral:rRNA from 1 species